GAUGAACGCUGGCGGCGUGCCUAAUACAUGCAAGUCGAGCGAACAGACGAGGAGCUUGCUCCUCUGACGUUAGCGGCGGACGGGUGAGUAACACGUGGAUAACCUACCUAUAAGACUGGGAUAACUUCGGGAAACCGGAGCUAAUACCGGAUAAUAUAUUGAACCGCAUGGUUCAAUAGUGAAAGACGGUUUUGCUGUCACUUAUAGAUGGAUCCGCGCCGCAUUAGCUAGUUGGUAAGGUAACGGCUUACCAAGGCGACGAUGCGUAGCCGACCUGAGAGGGUGAUCGGCCACACUGGAGCUGAGACACGGUCCAGACUCCUACGAGAGGCAGCAGUAGGGAAUCUUCCGCAAUGGGCGAAAGCCUGACGGAGCAACGCCGCGUGAGUGAUGAAGGUCUUCGGAUCGUAAAACUCUGUUAUUAGGGAAGAACAAAUGUGUAAGUAACUAUGCACGUCUUGACGGUACCUAAUCAGAAAGCCACGGCUAACUACGUG
rnacentral:rRNA from 1 species